UACGGGGGGGGCAAGCGUUGUUCGGAAUUACUGGGCGUAAAGGGCGCGUAGGCGGCCUUCUAAGUCGGACGUGAAAUCCCUCGGCUUAACCGGGGAACUGCGUCCGAUACUGGAGGGCUUGGAUCCGGGAGAGGGAUGCGGAAUUCCAGGUGUAGCGGUGAAAUGCGUAGAUAUCUGGAGGAACACCGGUGGCGAAGGCGGCAUCCUGGACCGGCAUCGACGCUGAGGCGCGAAAGCCAGGGGAGCAAACGGG
rnacentral:rRNA from 1 species